rnacentral:misc_RNA from 1 species
GCAAACUUGGUCAUUUAGAGGAAGUAAAAGUCGUAACAAGGUUUCCGUAGGUGAACCUGCGGAAGGAUCAUUACCGAGAGAGGGUGUCGCCCCGGCGCGCCCGACCUCCCAACCCUUUGUCUACCUUACCUAAACGUUGCUUCGGCAGGCCCGCCGCCCGCGAGGGUGGCCGCCGGGGACCCUGUGUCCCGGGCCCGCGCCUGUCGAUGGCCCCUUCUAAACUCAUGCUUAAACGUGUCGUCUGAGUAAACAAACAAUAUACAAACCAAAACUUUCAACAACGGAUCUCUUGGUUCUGGCAUCGAUGAAGAACGCAGC